rnacentral:rRNA from 1 species
UCGAGCGGUAGAGAGAAGCUUGCUUUUCUUGAGAGCGGCGGACGGGUGAGUAAUGCCUAGGAAUCUGCCUGGUAGUGGGGGAUAACGUUCGGAAACGGACGCUAAUACCGCAUACGUCCUACGGGAGAAAGCAGGGGACCUUCGGGCCUUGCGCUAUCAGAUGAGCCUAGGUCGGAUUAGCUAGUUGGUGAGGUAAUGGCUCACCAAGGCGACGAUCCGUAACUGGUCUGAGAGGAUGAUCAGUCACACUGGAACUGAGACACGGUCCAGACUCCUACGGGAGGCAGCAGUGGGGAAUAUUGGACAAUGGGCGAAAGCCUGAUCCAGCCAUGCCGCGUGUGUGAAGAAGGUCUUCGGAUUGUAAAGCACUUUAAGUUGGGAGGAAGGGCAGUAAAUUAAUACUUUGCUGUUUUGACGUUACCGACAGAAUAAGCACCGGCUAACUCUGUGCCAGCAGCCGCGGUAAU